GGAGGGUUGCGAUAAUGGUAUUCGGCUGGUCCUGAAAACCAGUGUCCUUCGGGACUUGCAGGUUCGAGUCCUGCACCCUCCG
rnacentral:tRNA from 1 species